CGACCCACCACGGUCAGGUGACAACCUCAGAACCGCCUCCGCCCCCUGAGCGCCCAUUGGACGCCGGACUCUGAUGACGUCCACGCUACCCCUCAGUUUCCUCCCUGCGCGGCGCCUUCGCCUUCUGCCUUGUGCGCAUGCGUCGCUCUCUCUCCUCCCUCCCCCCACUUUUUCUCAGGUACUGGGGCAGCGCGUCGUCUUGGCUCCGAGCGUCUCCCGCGAGCGUCCCUUCGCCUGUGGUUCGAGGUUCUCCCGCCAAAAGGAAAUUUUAGGGAUUGGCAGGUGACUGCUGGAAGAGCACUUUGGUUUUCUCGAUGUUCAGUGAGAGGCUGAGCUUAUGCCUGUGAAACAUAGACUCUCUACAGACGUCACACUCAACUCCUGAAACGAUUCCAUCAGCGUUGCUUCCGAAAAAUCCUGCAGAUCUCUUGGGAAGAUAGGCGGACAAAUGUCAGGUGCUAGAAGCAAAGACCACCAGCAUUGAACUGAUGCUCCUACGCCAUCAACUCUGCUGUACUGGCCACGUCAUCAGAAUGCCAGAUCACCAUCUCCCAAAGCAGUUACUGUACUCCCAACUCAAGGGUGGAAAAUGGAAUGUUGGUGGACAGGAAAAGAGAUUUAAAGCUAAACUUAAAAACUGUGGCAUAGACACCAAGAACUGGGAAGCCCUUGCCCUUGAGCUCUCUAGCUGGAGGUCAGCUGUGACCAGUAGCGCUGUGGAAUUUGAAGCGCGGAUGGAGGACGAAAGGGAGAAACAUGCCAAGAAGAAGGCAUGUCAUGCCAACCCUGACGAGGACCGCCUUCCACCCAGAAACAGAUGUCCUCACUGUGGUAGAACAUGCAGGUCAAGAAUAGGAUUCCACAGUUACCUACGUAUUGUGAGGGUUUGUAAAAAGAUACCAUGAUGGAAUGAGUUAACUGAAAAGGUAUGUGGCAACAGCUGAUUGGCUGAGCCAGCCAGGAGCCAGAAUUCUGAUUGGCUGCUGUCUCUAGCUUGCUGUAGAGAGAAACAGUUUUAACUGACACUUUCAUCUCGAAGAGGGAGGAGAGCAACUGACUGAAAAUGGUUAGGAAGGAAAUGGCUGCCAUACUCUCUGAAGCCUGAUUAUUUAUAAGGCAAAUGAGGCGUAUUUAAAGGGACUGUUUAUACCUAUAUUCUCUGUGUGAAUUCAGAAAGACUGUUAUAUAUAUUGUUGCCUGUUUGAACUUUUGAACUGAAGUAAAGAUACUGUUACUUUGUUGCACAAGCCUGAGUGACAUUUUUGAUUUAUCUUGAUUCAGAAACUGUGGUAAAGCUUCUAUUUAUUUAUUUCUACAACCGUCAACAUGUAUCCACCGCCACGACACUACAUUUGGAAGGCCAUCAUACUCAGACAACAAGGGAUUGCCUAAGUAUGUAAGUAAGUAAGUACUGGAAACAUAAUAAAAGCAGUGACUUCUACUCACACUCUUUUCCAUAGUUAUUUCAGAUGUUGGAAUCUUUUUUCUUCUGGGUGGUCAUCAUUUCCCAAAUUUCUCACCAAGCUUUCCAUUUCCAGGGUUGGUUUCAUUCACAAAAUUUGGCUUAGAAAAUGAAGCUUGUACUUCACUGGCUUUCUUCCAGUUUCCAUUAGUGAGAAUUUAUCAGUUUAUACUGCUUUGACAAACAUAUGCUGCUAAUGGUAGAAAACAAAUAUGCUUGAGCUAAUUAGGAGAAAUAUUAAUAAUUCAGCUGUUUUUCUUGGAGUGACAUUUGAUUCUGCUGUAAUUAGUGUGUUUAUUUCUAAACCCUUUCUGUGAAAAACCAAAAUAUUCUCAGUUGGAUCCAAAAUGUGGCUCUGGGUUUAUGCCAAUUAUAUUUCUAAAUAUCUGAAGUGGUUUUAUAUAUUGUUAUUUUUUAACUGAAUAAAGGAAAAAAAUAAUGUAUUUCCAUUGGUUUCCCUGCUUCAACUGGCACCUAUUCCUUCCUCUCUUAAAUUAUACAUAGUUUUGGCAUGAAUGUUUAUUAACCGAAUCUUAUUAUUACUACUAGUAGAUCAUUGCCAUACAUAAAAUAUUCCAAGGAAAGGUCUUUAAAACUUCAGCACAUACUUGUUUAAAAAGGCAGAAAUGAGAGAAGCAGCACAUUGCAGGUGGAUUGGGAUUAACACCUAAAAACAUCCCAAAAAGGAUGAAUUGUUUCUUCUGCAAGCACCUAAGAGCAGCAUGCUUAACAUCAAAAAUAUUCAAUUUUUUAAAAUAAGCCUUGAACUUUGGUUUUAUGACAUUUUUACAAUCCUCGUGGUUUUCUGGGGCAGAAAAUUAUCCCUUGAGUACACUGAAAUUGUUCACAUCAUUCUAACUCAGUAGAACCACUGAUUAUUUGAAUAAAAUAUUGUAAAAUCAAAGCUGCAGUUAAAACAGACUGAACCAAAAGAUACAGGAGCAAGAGGGAAAUUGGUGAUCUCUGAGAUGUAAUGCUGCAUAAUCUUUAGUAUGCCAUUCAAGCACAUUUUCCCAAUUUCUCAUUCAUCAUAUACCUGCUUUCCUUCAAAGCUGUAACAGUCAGCAUUUGGAUUCCCCAAUCCUACACAAUAAAAUAUGUUGUGUUUUCCCCUCAAACAUGUUUUUUUAUCAGCAUCGUUUGGAGGAGAUGAAAAAAUUGCUUUUUAGUUGUUACUUUGCUUGCAGUUUCUCAAGUUGCUCCUGACAUGAAAAAAAUUGUUACUUGUACUGUAUUAAGAGGGUUGAGAAUUAGAAACUGGCAAACCAACAUCAAUUCACUCGGAGAUCAUGAUGUGCGUCUACAUUGUAGAAUGAAUGCAGUUUGAAACCACUUUAACUUGUAUGGCUCAAUGGUAUGGAAUCCUGGGAACUGAAGUUUUGCAAAGCCUUUUUUAACCUCCUCUGACAAAGAGUGGCGUUGCCUCACCAAAAUCCAAAUCCCAGGAUUUCAUAGAAUUGAGCCAUGGCAAUCAAAGUAGUGUCGCACUGCAUUAAUUCUACAAUGUCGAUGCAUACUAUGCUGAACCCUGUUUUUUUUUUAAGAGUUUUAUACAGCAGCAUAUUUUAAAUAGAAUAUCAUAAUAAUCUUAGAAUGAUUAUAAUAUGAUACCAAAUAAAUAACACUCUGAUGAAACACGUGGUGCUGGUGAGAAUAUUCACUCCUGUUUCCCAUUUAAAGGUGAACUGCCAGCGGAGGGAGCUCAAGUCCUUCAGUGCUAUGAAAUCCAACCAUGAAUGGAAGAGAUGCUAGGACUAAGAUCCAAAGAUUAAUGAGUAAGUUAAUGUCCCCAGCAUUUGAGACGAACAGUUAUGUUUACAUUAUGUUGUAGAAGCACAUUUUUUCCAUCCUGUUGAAGGAAGUACGCAUGUUCAGUUCUUCCAGCAUAAAAAGGAGAAAGAAAAUCGGAGGAUAAAAAAAAUAUAUCAGGCACCACCUUUAAGACUAAUUGGUUUUUAUUUUGACAUGACCUUUCCUGGAUAUACUCUCCAAGGAUAUUCAGGUCCCUAGCUGAACAUGCUAAUGGAUUAUGAAUUAGGAGUGAAACUGAUAAAUCCAUUGUUUUAUUCUUCCCUCCAGGCAUUUCCACAUAAUAAUUAAGCUGGUGCUUGCAUAAUUUUAUAUACAGUAGUAUACUUUUUUAUGAACAUUUUUUUAUACUUCAUGAUCCAUGAGCAUAUUUAGCUAGGGAGCCCAGUUAAACAAGAAAACCUCAGAUUUCACUACUAAUAUGUGAAAUUAUUACCCAAAUCAAUGUCCAGUCUAUAAGAAAAAAAUUACUAUGUUCCCUUGGAUUUUUUUUUAUUUCAUUUGUAUGCUACCUUUCCCCUAGAGUGGGUCCCAAGAUGGCGCCCAGAUUUUUAAAAAAUGGCUUACAAAUCUUGUGUAUCUUCUGUUUUAUUCUGCGUGGAGUAUUUAUAUACAAUCAUAAUUCUUGAAUCCACUGUCGAGUUCAUAUUGAGAAAUGCAAUAAAUUCCUUAAAGUAAA